rnacentral:lncRNA from 1 species
GGCGGAUCAGGGGGAGGGGAAGGGCGGGGCUAUGUGGCGGAGGCUGCGGCUGCUCAGUAACCGCCCCCAACCCCCUAUUCUCUUGUCCCUGCCCCUCACUAGGUGCAAAGGGAUCGACCACUGGAGCUACAGCUCCCAGUACUCAUGGAACCCCCGGCCAGGGAGGGAGAAGAUGCUUUCAGCACAAAGCCCCACCCGCCUUGGGGGGUGCUGAGUUCUCACAUGGGUUGGGUUAAACAAGACCAAGAUGGCUGAGACUCAGCUUUUGUUCUUCUGCCUUCUCCCAGACCAGGGUAAAAGGAAUCCUGGAUCCCCUGAGGAUUGCUUACUUUCCUUCCUUCUGCAUAGGAGGAAGAGAGUGGAAAAUUGUGAAUGCCUCCUUACCUGUCAGGGAACCUACCCUGACUGCUCCACCUUCCCCCCAGGCUUCCCAUUCAGCAUCUUCCUUUUUCUGGGCUCCCCUUGCAUCAGCAUCAUUGAUACUACUUGAGGCCAGACAGUGGUGUCUGUGGAGGUGGUGGAGUCACUUGCAGGGCAAGGAGGAAGGAUGAACCUUCUCUAUCCUCUGUGUUAUCCCACUGGAUAGAAAAUCCUAUCCUAAAGCUCUUUUCCUUCUGGUCACUCCACCAGGAAGGGAGAGUUGAUGGGUUCACUGACAGAGUGAAGAAGAUAAUGUAAGGACUAGGUACUGGGGAGGCAGAAGUGCUAGCUGUCCCCUUAGGUUGCCCCUGAAAUGACCCUUGGGCCCUAAAGCCUUUGGCACUAGGUGGCUGAUCUCUCACUGCUGUUGAGGACACUUUAGCAUCCGUAUAUUGACAGAUAAAAGUUUUUUGAAGGGAUACUUAUUUUUUUCUUUAUUCUUCUUCCUCUGCUCUAAACUUCUCUCCUCUGAGUUUUCUGCAGAUUCAUAGACACAAUUUGCCUAAAGGUUUCCUCUGCCCCACAAAGCAGAACCAAAUGGGGGCUUUUAUGCAGAACUGCCUUUGGGAAAAGGGGACACAUGGUUGGUGGGGGGUGGGAGGUAGGGGGAAGAGGACACUUGGUUGGGAUUGAGGGCUAUCCUGUCAUUUAAUCAGUCAAGGCCUGGGCUAGGCCUGGGGCCUUUAGUGACUCAGGUAGAUAAAGGGUGGAGAGUUUCAAGGGAGCUGUGAGUCAUGGGAGUGAGCUCCACCACUGAGGCUGGGCAGCUUCUCUAGUUUCCUUCUGCUUUGAUAUUGGUAUGAACCCUCUUCCUCCCUACCCCAAUUGCUCCCCCAACCUAUACUAUUUAGGUAUAUACUCCAUUCCUCAGGGCCAGUGAC